AGAAGUUUGAUCCUGGCUCAGAUUGAACGCUAGCGGAAUGCCUUACACAUGCAAGUCGAACGGCAGCACGGACUUCGGUCUGGUGGCGAGUGGCGAACGGGUGAGUAAUGUAUCGGAACGUACCCAGUAGCGGGGGAUAACUACUCGAAAGAGUAGCUAAUACCGCAUACGCCCUUCGGGGGAAAGGGGGGGAUCUUCGGACCUCCCACUAUUGGAGCGGCUGAUAUCGGAUUAGCUAGUUGGUGAGGUAAAGGCUCACCAAGGCGACGAUCCGUAGCUGGUUUGAGAGGACGACCAGCCACACUGGAACUGAGACACGGUCCAGACUCCUACGGGAGGCAGCAGUGGGGAAUAUUGGACAAUGGGCGCAAGCCUGAUCCAGCCAUGCCGCGUGUCUGAAGAAGGCCUUCGGGUUGUAAAGGACUUUUGUCCGGGAGGAAACCCUGAUCGUUAAUAGCGGUCGGGACUGACAGUACCGGAAGAAUAAGCACCGGCUAACUACGUGCCAGCAGCCGCGGUAAU
rnacentral:rRNA from 1 species